CAGCUGUGUAACGAAACUCCUGCAGGUUGGACACACCAUGGAAGUGCACAAAAGCACCUGCUACCACCAGGAUAUGGAACAGCUGAUGGGAGUGGAACUGCAAAAUAAUGACAAGGGAAGAAUCUCUCGGGGAUACGUGCAGCGUACAGGCAGGCUCCGGUGAUGUACAGGGCAGCCAUGAGGAACAGCCAGCCCAUCUGUCCCAUGGUGGUGGCCCUCAGAAAGCCCUCAGUGAUCAUAAAGUGCAGUGUGGGGACGACUCCACUGAGGCCAAGACCCACAAACACACCUGAGACACAGAAAACAGGACAGAGAGCUUUGGCUUCUUCCCCAGAGGGGGAGAGAGGAGAGGAAGGAAAGAGCCAUUAAAGCAGAAGGGGCUCAGAACAUGCUACAAAGGACUGCUUUCAGUUCCUGUUCCUCUGCAUAUGGCAGACUCUCAAUACAAGACUGAGAUGAGAAGCUGCCGGAGCCGGAAGAUGGGCGUCUGGUUUGGCAGGGAUGUUUUCCGUAUUGGAGGACUGUGACUUGUUCGUGCAAAGGCAGCUGUGAUCAGGAGAGAGGGUCUCAGCUGUGGGCGUGAGAUGAACUGACCUUGUGCACAAACUCCUCCAUCCUCUCCAUGGCGUGGUGUGCCUGCAGCAGAAGUCCUUCAUCAGAGCUCUUGUC